rnacentral:misc_RNA from 1 species
GAUGAAGAACGUAGCGAAAUGCGAUACGUAAUGUGAAUUGCAGAAUUCAGUGAAUCAUCGAAUCUUUGAACGCACAUUGCGCCCGCCAGUAUUCUGGCGGGCAUGUCUGUUCGAGCGUCAUUUCAACCAUCAAGCCCCCGGCUUGUGUUGGGGACCUGCGGCUGCCGCAGGCCCUGAAAAGCAGUGGCGGGCUCGCUGUCACACCGAGCGUAGUAGCAUACAUCUCGCUCUGGGCGUGCUGCGGGUUCCGGCCGUUAAACCACCUUCAUAACCCAAGGUUGACCUCGGAUCAGGUAGGAAGACCCGCUGAACUUAAGCAUAUCAAUAAGCGGAGGA